UACGUAGGGGGCAAGCGUUAUCCGGAUUUACUGGGUGUAAAGGGAGCGUAGACGGCUUGGCAAGCCAGAUGUGAAAGGCUGGGGCUCAACCCCAGGACUGCAUUUGGAACUGUCAUGCUAGAGUGUCGGAGAGGCAGGCGGAAUUCCUAGUGUAGCGGUGAAAUGCGUAGAUAUUAGGAGGAACACCAGUGGCGAGGGCGGCCUGCUGGACGAUGACUGACGUUGAGGCUCGAAAGCGUGGGGAGCAAACAGG
rnacentral:rRNA from 1 species